CAGGCUCGUGCUGUCUUGGAAAGAGAAUUUAACAACCUUUUGGUCAUGGGGACUGAUAGAAGGUUUGAUGAAGAUGAUGAUAAAAGCUUUAGGAGAGCACCUUCAUGGAGAAAAAAGUUUAGACCAAAGGACAUUCGCGGCUUAGCUGCUGGGUCAGCAGAGACUCUCCCUGCAAACUUCCGGGUCACUUCUUCUAUGUCUUCCCCCUCAAUGCAGCCAAAGAAGAUGCAGAUGGACGGUAUGUGAUGGGUCGCGCUAACCUGCCACUUGCUGGGAGCAUGAGCAGCUUUUUGUCUGGAACAUUAAUAAUGAUCUAAAACGGUCCAGUUAAUAUGUUACAAGGCACUUGAGUAUGGUUGCAUGUCCAAAUAUAAAUGUUUUUAAAUUAACUCUAA